UACGUAGGUCCCGAGCGUUGUCCGGAUUUAUUGGGCGUAAAGCGAGCGCAGGUGGUUUAUUAAGUCUGGUGUAAAAGGCAGUGGCUCAACCAUUGUAUGCAUUGGAAACUGGUAGACUUGAGUGCAGGAGAGGAGAGUGGAAUUCCAUGUGUAGCGGUGAAAUGCGCAGAUAUAUGGAGGAACACCGGUGGCGAAAGCGGCUCUCUGGCCUGUAACUGACACUGAGGCUCGAAAGCGUGGGGAGCAAACAGG
rnacentral:rRNA from 1 species